UUCCAGACUCCUACGGGAGGCAGCAGUAGGGAAUUUUCGUCAAUGGGCGCAAGCCUGAACGAGCAAUGCCGCGUGAGUGAGGAAGGUCUUCGGAUCGUAAAGCUCUGUUGCAGGUCAGAAAAGAAGGAAAGAGGAAAUGCUUUUCUUUUGAUAGUAACCUGCCAGAAAGUCACGGCUAACUACGUGCCAGCAGCCGCGGUAAUACGGAGGAUGCGAGCGUUAUCCGGAUUUAUUGGGUUUAAAGGGCGCGUAGGCGGAAUGCCAAGUCAGCGGUAAAAUCGCGGGGCUCAGCCUCGCUCCGCCGUUGAAACUGGCGUUCUUGAGUGGGCGAGAAGUAUGCGGAAUGCGUGGUGUAGCGGUGAAAUGCAUAGAUAUCACGCAGAACUCCGAUUGCGAAGGCAGCAUACCGGCGCCCAACUGACGCUGAAGCACGAAAGCGUGGGUAUCGAACAGGAUUAGAUACCCGAGUAC
rnacentral:rRNA from 1 species